rnacentral:rRNA from 1 species
GAUGAACGCUGGCGGCGUGCCAAAUACAUGCAAGUCGAGCGAACGGACGAGAAGCUUGCUUCUCUGAUGUUAGCGGCGGACGGGUGAGUAACACGUGGAUAACCUACCUAUAAGACUGGGAUAACUUCGGGAAACCGUAGCUAAUACCGGAUAAUAUUUUGAACCGCAUGGUUCAAAAGUGAAAGACGGUCUUGCUGUCACUUAUAGAUGGAUCCGCGCUGCAUUAGCUAGUUGGUAAGGUAACGGCUUACCAAGGCAACGAUGCAUAGCCGACCUGAGAGGGUGAUCGGCCACACUGGAACUGAGACACGGUCCAGACUCCUACGGGAGGCAGCAGUAGGGAAUCUUCCGCAAUGGGCGAAAGCCUGACGGAGCGACGCCGCGUGAGUGAUGAAGGUCUUCGGAUCGUAAAACUCUGUUAUUAGGGAAGAACAUAUGUGUAAGUAACUGUGCACAUCUUGACGGUACCUAAUCAGAAAGCCACGGCUAACUACGUG